GCUACGGCCAUAUCAGCCUGGGUACGCCCGAUCUCGUCUGAUCUCGGAAGCUAAGCAGGGUCGGGCCUGGUUAGUACUUGGAUGGGAGACCGCCUGGGAAUACCAUGUGCUGUAAGCA
rnacentral:rRNA from 1 species